GCCAGCCCGCUCAGAACUAAAGAAUUGACGGGGCCCGCACAAGCGGUGGAGCAUGUGGUUUAAUUCGAUGCAACGCGAAGAACCUUACCUGGUCUUGACAUCCCGGAGACCCUUAGGAAACUAGGGGUGCUUCCAUCUGGAAGAAUCUGGAGACAGGUGCUGCAUGGUUGUCGUCAGCUCGUGCCGUGAGGUGUCGGGUUAAGUCCCGUAACGAGCGCAACCCUUGUCCUUAGUUACCAGCACGUUAUGGUGGGCACUCUAAGGAGACUGCCGGUGACAAACCGGAGGAAGGUGGGGAUGACGUCAAGUCAUCAUGGCCCUUACGGCCUGGGCUACACACGUGCUACAAUGGUCGGUACAAAGGGUUGCCAAGCCGCGAGGUGGAGCUAAUCCCAUAAAACCGAUCGUAGUCCGGAUCGCAGUCUGCAACUCGACUGCGUGAAGUCGGAAUCACUAGUAAUCGUGAAUCAGAAUGUCACGGUGAAUACGUUCCCGGGCCUU
rnacentral:rRNA from 1 species